rnacentral:tRNA from 1 species
GAAGCUGUGGCGGAACUGGUAGACGCGCAAGAUUCAGAAUCUUGUGGGAAACCAUAGGGGUUCAAUUCCCCUCAGCUUCA